UACGUAGGGUGCGAGCGUUAUCCGGAUUUAUUGGGUUUAAAGGGUGCGUAGGCGGCUUUUUAAGUCAGCGGUGAAAUUUUGCAGCUUAACUGUAACAGUGCCGUUGAUACUGGGGAGCUAGGAUUUGGUUGCUGUGGGUGGAAUGUGUGGUGUAGCGGUGAAAUGCUUAGAGAUCACACAGAAUAUCGAUUGCGAAGGCAGCUCACAAAGCCAAGAUUGACGCUGAGGCACGAAAGUGUGGGGAUCAAACAGGAUUAGA
rnacentral:rRNA from 1 species